GACACAAUGUAGCACAGUGCGCAGCUCUUCAGCUGCUUUUUUUGUAAAAUUCCCAAUUAUAGGAAAACCUGCAGCUACCAAGUUUCCAGUUUGGCUCUGCUCCUUGUUCUACUUAUCAAUGGAAGUUGCAAAUACACUGGUACAGCUUCAAGUGUUUCUACGGCAGGUAUCUUCAAGUUACUUUGUUUCCCCUUCGUGGAAGCAGAAAGUCUUUCACUCUUCACCGCUGUGUCAUUCUAGUUUAAUUUUGGUGUCUUGAAGGUAUCUUCAAGUUUUGUGCCUUCUAGCAGAGAACUGUCUGGAGGCUGUUAGAAGAAAAAAGCAUUGCAUAAUGCAGGGGCAGGCUUGCCUGUUGGCUGGCGGGUGGGCAGUGGGUAAAUGCUUGAGAUUUUUGUUACAGGAAAAGAAAUAACAGGACUCAAAACUCAGGGAUUUGAUAAUUCUUAGUGGCAAUUUUGUGUGCCUCCAGCUGCCUGCUCCCAUCUCAUGUAGCUGUGAUCAUCAUGCUGCUGCUUGCUGAAACAGAUCAGAGGACUGAUAAAAUAUUAAUGACAAAAGGCAGCCAGGUCCGUGGGCUCAGCUGGAGCCGAAUCACCUCCGACUGUGAUGUGCUGCCUGAGUGCCCCCAGGGCAGGGAUGCGUGGCAAGGCCAAACAGAGCACUUGCCUGAGGAGAGCAUGGUUUUAUGUUGCCUUAAAGAAAUGAAUCAAGUGUAAGCUUUCCAGUGCAGCUAUUUCUCUCGUUGAUUCACGGGCUUUGGGAGCACAGUGAUGAUUUUGCCAAUUCUGGCAUGCUGCGCUUCUGUUAUGGUGUGUAAACAGCCUGGGGUAUCCCUGUGCCUGUGAAGUGCUGGAGGGAACCAGUGCUGAUAUCAGGUGUGCCUGAGGAGGAGGUUUUGGUAUCUGACAUAACAGAAAGUUCGUGGAAUCUGCUUGAGCACAAUGCUGCAUCUGGGGCCAGGGCUGUCUCCGGGCUGGUGCCUGUGGCACAUCUUUAUACAAACAUCUCAGAUUUAGCCCCUUUGUGGACAGUGCUGUGAUUCCUUAGUUCUAACUUGGUCUGGUGGUGGCUCUUAGAGCAAAUAAUUUUUAGUUCAGGUUAUACCCAGAGCUGAAAUCCUAAAAUAGUGAUGAUUGAAGUUGCUAAAUUAGCUAGAAGGGAUCUAACAAGCUGCUUCCACAUGAUGUGGUAAUGUGAUACGCUUGGGAUUUAUGAAAGCAAAUGCAUUUCUUAAAUACUUGCAUGGUAUUUUUAGAUAUGUUAAUACUAAUGGAUCUGUAACAGAACUGUUCAGAUUAGAGAUCAUUGUGUUAGCUAAUUAAAGCCCAACACAUAAGAUCUCUUUAGGAUAUGGUCAAGUAAAAAAAGUAUCUUGGUGUAUUAGACGUUUCCUAGCACUGUGUGCUUUCCAGAAAAAGAUUAUGUGGCUUGAUAAAAGUAGCAUCUUCAGGAGAACCUCCUGCCUGCUCUGCUGCCUUCCAUUCCACACGAAUUAGCUGUCCCUGUUUGCCACAGCGCAGCUCUGCUCUAAGCCCAUGGGAGUUGAACAGUACAAGCUAAAUUGGGCUGCUUGAUUGCUGCACGUACCAGUCCUGAAAGCAAGGCUGAAUUUGAUCCUCAGCAACACUGGUGUGCUUACAGCAGCUCUGGGUGUCUAGACAAGGAAGAAUUGGGAACUUCCAAGUAUCCUUUUAACCUGCAAUGGUGCUUUGUUGACUUAAAGUAUUUUAAAAUGUAUUCCUUAGGAACCAAAUGUAGAUAUUUGGGCUUGUAAUCAUUAUUCCAUUGCUGAUAAAAGCAUGUUAGAAUAGUAGUGCAUCUUGUGCUUGGACAGUCCUGCUGUCUGAACAGGAAGCUGGUGUUCGUAACUACAAGCCAGCUGGGUGAGGUCACAAGUUCUUCUCUUAAGUGAGGAGGAGCCUUUUUUCCUUGACAUAGAUUGUUUUCUUGUGCACUUAAUUGCAUUGCAAAAUGACAGGAACAUCCUGGAGUGACUGCAGCAGAGUGAAUCAAGGAGCAGAGGGGUCUGCUGGGCAGAGUGUGCAGAAUAUCUGAGUCAGUUCCAAGUGAGAAGGGUCAAUGCAGGAGGAGAUUUUCCCUUCAGUCUUACGGGUUGUCCUGCACCAGAAAUCACUUGAUAAAGAUAUUUGUGUAAAGAUGCUCUUUGGCCAUGUUGUGUAUUUCUCAAGAUUCCAGUGAUACUUCCAGAGUGAAAAUUAUUGCAAGGAAAGCUGAUAACUUCUUCAGCUCAGCUUUAAAGAAAACAUUAAAGCUGUUGGAGCAUGCCACUUGUGGCUUGUACCUUCUUGGUAACAGGGUUAAGGAUACAGAAAAAACAUGUCAGUUUAGCUAGUGACAGGAGAAUUAAGUUAAGAGGUUGGCCCUCU